rnacentral:rRNA from 1 species
CCUACGGGAGGCAGCAGUGGGGGAUAUUGCACAAUGGGGGGAACCCUGAUGCAGCGAUGCCGCGUGGGUGAAGGAGUAUUUCGGUAUGUAAAGCCCUAUCGGCAGGGAAGAAAUUGGACGGUACCUGACUAAGAAGCCCCGGCUAACUACGUGCCAGCAGUCGCGGUAAUACGUAGGGGGCAAGCGUUAUCCGGAUUCACUGGGUGUAAAGGGAGCGUAGACGGCCAGGCAAGCCUGGAGUGAAAGCCCGGGGCCCAACCCCGGGACUGCUCUGGGAACUGUCCGGCUGGAGUGCGGGUGGGGCAGGCGGAAUUCGUGGUGUAGCGGUGAAAUGCGUAGAUAUCAGGAGGAACACCGGCGGCGAAGGCGGCCUGCUGGACCGCAACUGACGCUCAUGCACGAAAGUGUGGGUAUCGAACAGGAUUAGAUACCCUAGUAGUC